rnacentral:rRNA from 1 species
CUCCGGCGGCAUAGGAUGGGCCUGCGGCGUAUCAGGUCGUAGGGGGUGUAACGUACCCUCUAGCCAUCGACGCGUACGGGUGUUGGGAGACAUAGCCCGGAGAUGGAUUCUGAGACACGAAUCCAGACCCUACGGGGUGCAGCAGGCGCGAAAACUUGGCAAUGCGAGAAAUCGUGACCAGGGAACUCCAAGUGGCUGGGGUAAGACCCAGUCUUUUCUUGACUCUUCAAAGGUCUUGGAAUAAGGGGUGGGUAAGGACGGUGCCAGCCGCCGCGGUAAUACCGGCGCCUCAAGUGGUAGUCGAUUUUAUUGGGCCUAAAACGUCCGUCGCCUGUUUGGUACAUUCGUGGGUAAAUCAACCAGCUCAACUGAUUGAAUUCUGCGAGCACGGCCAGACUUGGGACCGGGAGAGGUGUGGGGUACGCUCAGGGUAGGGGUAAAAUCCUGUCAUCCUGAGCGGACCACCUGUUGCGAAGGCGCCACACUAGAACGGAUCUGACGGUCAGGGACGAAACCUAGGGGCACGAACCGGAUUAGAUACCCGGGUAGUCCUAGGUGUAAACGCUGUGGACUUGAUGUUGGGGGCGCUCCGAGCGCUCUCAGUGUCGAAGCGAAGGUGAUAAGUCCACUGCCUGGGGAGUACGGUCGCAAGGCUGAAACUUAAAGGAAUUGGCGGGGGAGCACUGCAACCUGAGGAUUGUGCGGUUUAAUUGGAUUCAACGCCGGG